AACGAACGCUGGCGGCAGGCUUAACACAUGCAAGUCGAACGCCCCGCAAGGGGAGUGGCAGACGGGUGAGUAACGCGUGGGAACAUACCCUUUUCUACGGAAUAGCUCUGGGAAACUGGAAUUAAUACCGUAUACGCCCUACGGGGGAAAGAUUUAUCGGGGAAGGAUUGGCCCGCGUUGGAUUAGCUAGUUGGUGGGGUAAAGGCCUACCAAGGCGACGAUCCAUAGCUGGUCUGAGAGGAUGAUCAGCCACAUUGGGACUGAGACACGGCCCAAACUCCUACGGGAGGCAGCCGUGGGGAAUAUUGGACAAUGGGCGCAAGCCUGAUCCAGCCAUGCCGCGUGAGUGAUGAAGGCCUUAGGGUUGUAAAGCUCUUUCACCGAUGAAGAUAAUGACGGUAGUCGGAGAAGAAGCCCCGGCUAACUUCGUG
rnacentral:rRNA from 1 species